GGCAACGUGGCUGAGUGGUUAAAGCGUACGACUAGAAAUAUAUCUUGCCAUCGUAUCCCUUCGGGGUCACAGGUUCGAGUCCUGUCGUUGUCG
rnacentral:tRNA from 1 species